rnacentral:rRNA from 1 species
UACGUAGGGACCAAGCGUUGUUCGGAUUUACUGGGCGUAAAGGGCGCGUAGGCGGCAAUUCAAGUCAUCUGUGAAAUCUCCGGGACUUAACUCGGAACGGUCAGAUGAUACUGCUUGCUCGAGUGCGGAAGGGGCAAUCGGAAUUCUUGGUGUAGCGGUGAAAAUGCGUAGAUAUCAAGAGGAACACCUGAGGUGAAGACGGGUUGCUGGGCCGACACUGACGCUGACAGCGCGAAGCCAGGGAGGCAAACGGG